rnacentral:tRNA from 2 species
ACUAAAAUGGCAGACGGAUGUGUAAGAUUUAAGCUCUUAUUAGGAAGAUUAAUCUUCUUUUAGUA